rnacentral:lncRNA from 1 species
UUGAAUCACAGGACUGAAUAAGGAAGAGCUGCCCUCAGCGUGGCCGGGCAACAUCUAAUCGGCUGAAAGCUUGGAUCGAAUGAAAAGGCAGAGGAAAGGUUCUGAAGACCUCAAAUGGACUGAGCCACACUACCAGCAUCCAGCAUCCAUGGUUCUCCAGUCUGCAGAUGGCCUAUUAUGGGACUUUUCAGUCUUCAUAAUUAUAUGAGAGAAAGAAAAUGAAAAGGAUUUGUAAACUAUAAAUCUCUAAACAGAUGGGAGGAAAGGAAUUGAUGAAACAAUAAAUUUAUUGAUGAAACAAUAAAAAUAAACAUAAAGAACCAAAGGUACCAUACUCAGGGCGGGAGAUUAGUGAUGAACAAGACAGAUGAGCUCCCACAA